GAUGAACGCUGGCGGCGUGCCUAAUACAUGCAAGUCGAGCGAACGGACGAGAAGCUUGCUUCUCUGAUGUUAGCGGCGGACGGGUGAGUAACACGUGGAUAACCUACCUAUAAGACUGGGAUAACUUCGGGAAACCGGAGCUAAUACCGGAUAAUAUUUUGAACCGCAUGGUUCAAAAGUGAAAGACGGUCUUGCUGUCACUUAUAGAUGGACCCGCGCUGCAUUAGCUAGUUGGUAAGGUAACGGCUUACCAAGGCAACGAUGCAUAGCCGACCUGAGAGGGCGUCCAACACACUGGAACUGAGACACGGUACCGACUCCUACGGGAAGCAGCAGUAGGGAAUCCUCCGCAAUGGGCGAAAGCCUGACGGAGCAACGCCACGUGUGUGAUGAAGGUCUUCGUAUCGUAAAACUCUGUUAUUAGGGAAGAACAUAUGUGUAAGUAUCUGUGCACAUCUUGACGGUACCUAAUCAGAAAGCCACGGCUAACUACGUG
rnacentral:rRNA from 1 species